ACGAAUUUACUAAAUGUUUAAGACAAGAAGCCAUUAAAUGGGCAUAUAUUAUCGGCGAUACCAUUACCAUACUGUCAGAGAAAAGCUAACGACAGAUUGUUACGUCAUAUUGGAAAACUGAAAAAAAAUAAACUUCUGCCGUGGUGGGAAGAAUGGAUAUACUGUAAAGGUUCGAUGUUAGCAGAUCAUGAUACUUGGCACAAAAUGAAAAAUAUGGCAUUGAUGCAAAACUGUGAUAAUAGAUUUUUAGAAUUUUUAGCUUGUUCUAAAUAUUACAUUAAUGAAUAUUUAGAAUUAAUAACACCGCAUAAUGGAACAUAUAUCGGAAUACAAGCCAAAAAUUGUAUUAAUAGUUUUCUCUAUAUUAUUGCAAAGCACGCCAAACACGAUUAUGUGUUUAUGAAUAUAUUAACAAAUUUCGAGAAAUUAAAACCGAAGUAAUCAGAUUUUUUUUUCUUUUUUUUGUGAUAAACGCAUGUUGCUCAUAAUUACAAAAGUUUAUUACAUAAACUAAACAUAUAUUUGCUAUUUUGUUUCUAAAGAGACAUCAGUGCCUUGGCCACAUUAACUAUUAUUAUUAAUCAUGUAUAUUCCAAGAAACAACUUGACGAGAUCAAAAAUACCAUAACGAAUAUUAUAGAAAAGUAUGCGUUUGAUCAUAUUACUGAAAUUUUAUACAAGGAAAACAAAACUUACGAAAUUCUUUGCGCGAUCAUUUGACGCAUGGUAUAGACAAAGAAUUAUAAAAAAACUGAGCGACAUCUGAAUCAUAUACAACAAAAAAUCGAAAACUCCAUCAACUUUCAGAAUAUUAUUGCAUAGAUAGUUCUACUUUUAUCAUAAACAUUAAUUUAAGACUCUGUAAACAACAUUAAAUACGCGAAUCGAGAACUGAAAACUAGCAUAUUGUAAUAAAUAAAAUAAUUUAUUGUGUAUGUCUAAUUAAAAUUUCAAUAAUAAAAGUUUUAGUUUUUUUGUAAGAGUUUUGCAAUUAAUUGCCCCCAUUAUAUUUUUUGAAUAUUAUUGUACUCUUUAACAAAUCGAUAAUUUCUCUUUUCAUAUUUUAAUUUAUUCCUAGAUAAAAAUGAUAUUCUGUUUCAUUUGAAUCCUUUCAUUAUUUUUCGCUUUGUCUCAUUUCACCUGCUCCGACAUAUUAAUAUUAGAAAUGCAAAAACGUCACUUCAGCAUUCGAUGAUGAUUUACUAGCGCAACAAUAUUUUGAAAAUAUUCUUAUAUAAUAUUAUCAUACAAUUUCUGUUCAAGUAUUGUCAAUCUAUAAUUUUAUAUAUAUAAUAUUUAUUAUAAUAUUAGCAUAAAAAGUAAUAUUUUAUAUAGUUUAACAUUUAUUUUUAUUUCUAAUAUUAUUUUAUUAAUUAUUGAAAAGUACAUAUGAAAUUAACAACAACAUAAAAAAAUUCGGAAAUUAACAUAAUAAUGAUUCUUAAAAUAGAGAUAUAGAUUUUAUUCCAUCCUAAAUUUUGUAGGACUCGACCUAACGUAUUUAUUAUGAUAUCUAUUACAUCGAUAUUCUAAGACAACCUUAUGUAUUUAGCCUUAUUUUGUUAUGAUAUGUGACAUCGACAUUUUUAGUUCUCGAUUACCUCUCGAAACGGAAAGAUUACGAUAGUUUAGAUAUAUGAGUGAUUAAAAUGUAACAAUAUUAACGCUUGUGAAACAAUUGUAAUUAAUUCUUCUAAUUGUAAAGAAACAGAAACUAUAUUAUAAUUGGCAUUGAUUUUUAAUAUAUAAGGUACCUAAAUAAGUGAUAUGGCGUUUCUAAGACUGUUACUUUAUGGCGGUCUCACAUUUAUCAUUGCGACAACACUUUCUGCCGAUGAAAAUACAGAAGAUAUUAUCGAUACAUCGAUUACAUAUAAUAACAUUUUGGAUGUAAUACCAAUGCAUUACAACGUCAUAUUAGUACCAUAUUUCAAAGAAGACGAUAAAAUCUAUGACGAAUAUAUGACCUUUUUAUAUCAAACCUUUAAUACAUAUAUAAAAGAGCAUCAAGCAAGUGGCAGAGUUGUCUUCUAUGGCGAAAUCAAUGUCACUAUUCAUAUUUUUCAUCCAACUAUAAAAAUAAGUUUAAAUUCAUCGAAUUCAAUUCGCCAUUUAUCAACAGAAUUGAUGGAAAAAGACGUUAUUAAUUUUAAACCAGAAGAAGAAAAAUAUCAUGUAACGAAAAAAAUCGAAUAUGAUAAUGUAACGCAAAUUUGUGUUCUUUAUUUCGAAAAUGAGUUAUUACCUAAAAAUUAUACAUUAAAAAUAAGAUUUCUUAAUG